CAGUAGCCACGGGAACACGAAGGGUGCAAGCGUUACUCGGAAUUACUGGGCGUAAAGCGUGCGUAGGUGGUGGUUUAAGUCCGUUGUGAAAGCCCUGGGCUCAACCUGGGAAUUGCAGUGGAUACUGGGUCACUAGAGUGUGGUAGAGGAUAGUGGAAUUUCCGGUGUAGCAGUGGAAUGCGUAGAGAUCGGAAGGAACAUCUGUGGCGAAGGCGACUAUCUGGGCCAACACUGACACUGAGGCACGAAAGCGUGGGGAGCAAACAGGAUUAGAUACCCCUGUAGUCCCUGUCUCUUAUAC
rnacentral:rRNA from 1 species